UUGUCAGAGAGACAUGACUGUUUUGCGUUCUACCUCUGCGGCGGAAGUGCGCGCGCUGCGCACUGAGCUGGAGACUGUACGUAACGCGCGGUUUGUCGUCAACGGGGCUGGCAGUGACUCGGAAUUGGAGGUCAAGAUAAAGUCUCUUACUGAGGUGUUGCUAAACAAGCAGGGUGAAGUAGAGAGGUUGAACAGUGAGAGGAGUAGUCUAGUGUUACGUCUGGAGGGAUUAGAGGGAGUGUUACAGCAAGUUGAGAGGAGAAAUAACUCUGUUUCAGUGCCCGUUGAGAGGGAGGGGUUUGUGGAAACUUCUAGACCUAGUUACAAGAAUGAGAGACUGAGAGACGCUCUAAACUCUAUAGAUAAGUUUAGUGUGAGAUUAGGUGUGUUUCUUAGGAGGUACCCACAAGCCAGGCUAAUGGUACUAGGCUACAUGUUACUGUUACACAGCUGGGUUAUGGUGGUACUUCUCACCUACACUCCCGAGAUACACGAGAAUCACACGUGACCACUUCUCACGUACACUCCCGAGAUACACGAGGAUCACACGUGACACUCUGAUAAUCUCAGUUAUCAGUGUGUUUUAAAACCUUUUUUGUUCAGAGUUAUGAAAGUUUAUUUAUCAGUAUGACUUUGUAAUUAGAUCUACGAAUUUCUUUGCAAGUUUAUCAGACUUUAACUUAAGUUAAUAUUUUAUUUCUUCAGUAAUGGUUAUGAUUGGUUUGAUUUUUAUUUGCUUGAGUAGUAAAUAAUAAUAAAUAAUG